GGGGUUGUGGCUCAGUGGUAGAGCACUUGCCUGGCAUGUGUGUGGCACUGGGUUCAGUCCUCAGCAACACAU
rnacentral:tRNA from 1 species